rnacentral:lncRNA from 1 species
AAGCCGGUUGCCCCAGUGAACAGCAGGUGCAGAGGAACCAGGAAGACCGGUCACAUUUUUGGCUUCUGAGUUCCUGAAAAGGCUCCGGUGAAUCAACAGUUAAUGCUUUCUUCUUUAAAAAGAAAGGGUGGAGAUCCCAGGAUGCUGGCUCUCAACACACCAUUGCUAUGCUGGUGCCCUGACUGACUAAGUGUGAAAAUGCCCAAAGGAAGGGCUCUCCAUUUCUCCUCGGGUGUGCCUAAAGGGACAUCACCUCCCCUUAGUUUCAAGACCUCGAAUCAGACAACACGGGCUCCUACCCACCAGUCACCGGCCAGGAGAGAGAUCAGCACAGGGUGGUGAGCUCAGCCUCCCUGAAGCUCAGCCAAUGACAGCUUCCUGACAGGCGAAGAGAAGAGCAGAAGCUGGGAAGUCAAACAACAGCAUCGUCUAACGGUCCAGCACAGACAAGGCUCCUUUCAAAGCUUGUGCAGAGACGACCUGGAGGUUUGUUGAAGACAUCAGUCCUGACCCCACAGGCCUGGGAUGGACAUUUGGUCCUAUGUUUUUGACAAACUCCACAGAGAGGGCAGGAUGGCUGGCCAAACAGGUACAUCGAGCAAAUCACCACACAAUAUCAUGUAUUCCUUUUAUGUUAUUACGUAAAAUUUGACAUCUUGGCCUGGUGAGAUGGCUCAGAGGGGCGAAAGACACUUACCACCAAGCCUGAUGGCCUAAGUGCCUUCUACAUAGCAGGAGGAAAGGAGUGACCUCUGUGACUUCUUCGCUGGCCUCCACAUGUGCUUUUGUGACGUGUAUGCCCCAACCUCAGUGUAAUAAACAGUGUUUUUAAACUU